UACGUGGGGUGCAAGCGUUGUCCGGAAUUAUUGGGCGUAAAGAGCUCGUAGGCGGUCUGUCGCGUCGGCUGUGAAAACCCGCGGCUCAACCUCGGGCCUGCAGUCGAUACGGGCAGACUAGAGUGCGGUAGGGGAGACUGGAAUUCCUGGUGUAGCGGUGAAAUGCGCAGAUAUCAGGAGGAACACCGGUGGCGAAGGCGGGUCUCUGGGCCGUAACUGACGCUGAGGAGCGAAAGCGUGGGGAGCGAACAGG
rnacentral:rRNA from 1 species